rnacentral:rRNA from 1 species
AAGUUACUAAGAGCUUAUGGUGGAUGCCUUGGCACUAGAAGGCGAUGAAGGACGUGCAAAUCUGCGAAAAGUUGCGGGGAGUUGGUUGGAAACGAUAAUCCGCAAAUAUCCGAAUGGGGUAACCCAGUAUGGCGAAAUCCAUAUUAUUUUAUUCUGAAUUCAUAGGGAUAAAAAGCGAAACGUUGCGAAGUGAAACAUCUCAGUAGCAACAGGAAAAAAAAACGAAAGUGAUUCCGUGUGUAGUGGCGAGCGAAAGCGGAACAGGCCAAACCGGAGUAAUCCGGGGUUGUAGGACUGCAAUCUGGACUUAAAAUUGAUAGGAGAAGUGGUUGGAAGGCCACACCACAGAGGGUGAUAGUCCCGUAUCUGAAAUCAAGUUUAUACCUAGCAGGAUCCUGAGUACGUCGGAAAAUGUUAUUUUGACGGAAUCUGCCCAAACCAUUGGGUAAGCCUAAAUACUAAUCUAGUGACCGAUAGUGAACAAGUACCGUGAGGGAAAGGUGAAAAGAACCCAGAGAUGGGAGUGAAAUAGAUUCUGAAACCAUAUGCUUACAACGUGUCAGAGCAAUUUAAUGUGUGAUGGCGUGCGUUUUGAAGUAUGAGCCGGCGAGUUAUGAAGGCAAGCAAGUUAACCAAUAGAAGGGUAGCUAUAGCGAAAGCGAGUCUGAAAAUGGCGUUUUAAAUGUUUGUUUUUAUAGACCCGAAACGGGUUGAGCUAGGCAUGGGCAGGUUGAAGGUAGAGUAACAUCUGCUGGAGGACCGAACCGACUUUCGUUGAAACGACAGCGGAUGACCUGUGUCUAGGGGUGAAAUUCCUAUCGAAAUCCGUGAUAGCUGGUUCUCGUCGAAAUAGUUUUAAGACUAGCGUAAGAUCAUGAUUAAUUGGAGGUAGAGCUACUGAAUGUAUGAUGGCGUCGCCUUGACGUAUUGAUUACAAUUAAACUCCGAAUGCCGAUUAAUUUAUUCUUGCAGUCAGACAGUGGGGGAUAAGCUUCAUUGUCACAAGGGGAAGAGCCCAGAUCAUUAAAUAAGGUCCCUAAAAUAUGCUAAGUGGAGAAGGAUGUUGAAAUACUUAAACAGCAAGGAUGUUGGCUUAGAAGCAGCCACCGUUUAAAGAGUGCGUAACAGCUCACUUGUCGAGUGUUUCUGCGCCCAAGAUGUAACGGGGCUAAGCAUAUUACCGAAUUUAUGGAUGGUACGCAAGUACCGUGGUAGACGAGCGUUGUAUAAAGAUUGAAGCCAAACCGUGAGGAUUGGUGGACUAUAUACAAGUGAGAAUGCCGGUGUAAGUAACGCAUGAGAGUGAGAAUCUCUCAAACCGAUUGACUAAGGUUUCCUGGACGAGGGUCGUCCUUCCAGGGUUAGUCUGGACCUAAGGUGAGGCUGAAAAGCGUAAUCGAUGGCCAACAGGUUAAUAUUCCUGUACAAACAUAAUAACUGAUGGAGUGACGGAGAAGGUUAAUGGCUGCCCCUUAACGGAUUGGGGUUCAAAUAACAAGUCUUUGUGGUUGGCAAAUCCGCCACAUUUAAGGGCAAGUUAUGAUAACGGGUGAACGCUUCGGCUAGUAGCGAAGAGCCAUAUAUCACGCUUCCAAGAAAAGUUUCUAGGAUUAAUUAUUAUGUUUCCAGUACCGAGAACGAACACACGUAGUCAAGGAGAAGAUCCUAAGGUUAGCGAGUUAACGAUAGUUAAGGAACUCUGCAAAUUAGCCCCGUAACUUCGGGAGAAGGGGUGCUCAAUGAAAGUUGAGCCGCAGUAAAGAACGAGGGGGGACUGUUUAACUAAAACACAGCUUUAUGCUAAGAUGCAAAUCGAUGUAUAUGAGGUGACACCUGCCCAGUGCUGGAAGGUUAAAGAAGGAUGUUAGCGCAAGCGAAGCUUCCAACUGAAGCCCCAGUGAACGGCGGCCGUAACUAUAACGGUCCUAAGGUAGCGAAAUUCCUUGUCGGGUAAAUUCCGUCCCGCUUGAAUGGUGUAACCAUCUCUUGACUGUCUCGACUAUCGACUCGGUGAAAUCCAGGUACGGGUGAAGACACCCGUUAGGUGCAACGGGACGGAAAGACCCCAUGAAGCUUUACUGUAGCUUAAUAUUGGGCAGAGUUUGAGCAUGUAGAGCAUAGGUAGGAGACUUUGAAGUAAGUUCGCUAGGAUUUACAGAGUCAACUGUGGAAUACUACCCUUGCUUAAACUUUUCUCUAACCGGCUGGUGUCAUCCACCAGCGGGACAGUGUUAGGUGGGCAGUUUGACUGGGGCGGUCGCCUCCUAAAAUGUAACGGAGGCGCGCAACGGUACCCUCAGCACGGUUGGAAAUCGUGUCUAGAGUGUAAUGGUAUAAGGGUGCUUGACUGUGAGACUAACGAGUCGAGCAGGUGAGAAAUCAGGUCAUAGUGAUCCGGUGGUUCAGCAUGGAAUGGCCAUCGCUCAACGGAUAAAAGCUACUCUGGGGAUAACAGGCUGAUACUGCCCAAGAGUUCACAUCGACGGCAGUGUUUGGCACCUCGAUGUCGACUCAUCUCAUCCUCGAGCUGAAGCAGGUUCGAAGGGUUCGGCUGUUCGCCGAUUAAAGAGAUACGUGAGUUGGGUUCAAACCGUCGUGAGACAGGUUGGUCCCUAUCUAUUGUGCCCGCAGGAAGAUUGCAGAGAUUUAUUCUUAGUACGAGAGGACCGGAAUGAAGAUACCACUUGUGCUCCAGUUGUACCGCCAGGUGCAUGGCUGGGUAGCAACGUAUCGCAUAGAUAAACGCUGAAAGCAUCUAAGCGUGAAACUAACUCUAAGAAAAAUCUUCCCAUCCCGCAAGGGAGUAAGAAUCGUUAUAGACCAUGACGUUGAUAGGUCACAGCUGCAAGCACGGCGACGUGUUUAGGUAAGUGAUACUAAUCAUUCGAGGACUUA